UUUUUUAUCAUCAUCAUCUAAGCGAUUCUUAUUACUUUGGGGAUUUGCUCUUCAGGAUUUCCAGCUCUGGGAACUGAACUUUUCCUUCAGGAGUAUUACUACUAGCUCUUAUAGACAUAAUCAACAGAAGCCUUCAGCCCAGCAGGCAGGUGUCACAGUAGCAGUUCGUUUACAAGGCAUGAAGUUAUGGAGUUGCUAAUCCAGUCUUUUAUCUUGUGUUCGCAAUUAUAAUGUCAAGAUUGAAUAAUCUGCCUUUAUCUCCAGGGCGACAGCUAUGUAGAAACAUCAAAAGGGGCAGUUUUUUUGCCAGCAUCUAAAAACACUUGUUAAUUGCUACCUAUUGAGGCAAAGUCAAAUAAAGUGGGAUGAAAAACAGUAUUUCUCUUUGAC
rnacentral:lncRNA from 1 species